GGUCCUACGGGAGGCAGCAGUGGGGAAUAUUGCACAAUGGGGGAAACCCUGAUGCAGCGACGCCGCGUGAGUGAAGAAGUAUUUCGGUAUGUAAAGCUCUAUCAGCAGGGAAGAUAAUGACGGUACCUGAGUAAGAAGCCCCGGCUAACUACGUGCCAGCAGCCGCGGUAAUACGUAGGGGGCAAGCGUUAUCCGGAUUUACUGGGUGUAAAGGGAGCGUAGACGGCCGUGCAAGUCUGAUGUGAAAACCCGGGGCUCAACCCCGGGACUGCAUUGGAAACUGCAUGGCUGGAGUGUCGGAGAGG
rnacentral:rRNA from 1 species